rnacentral:lncRNA from 1 species
ACUAGGUGACUGGCCUCGGUUCAUCCAUCACACUCACGGCUGCUGGAUGCUGAUGGUCUCAGAUCCAACCCCCCGGGGAAGAUGGGCCGGGCAAUCCAUCAUCCAUCCGAGCCUUCGAGCCGGAUGCGGCGAAGGUCUAGUCUGACUCCAGGGACCAGAGAUGGAGGGGAGCUUGCCACAGCCCCCAUGCCAUUCUGCUGAGGGGCACCCCUGCCCCGUGCCAGGCUGACGUCCACACCGUCCUGCUGUUCCCACCAGCUGAGCUGACCGCCUGCCGCCAAGCACUCAGAGAGCUGACUCUCACCCAUCUUCCCACAGCCCGGCUGCUGGGGGAGCCAGGCAGGCACCCGCCUAUGUGGGAGAGCAGAGGCGGGCACCUCCCCUGGAUUCAUACUCCUGCUCUUCAAGAAAAAUUCCUAACAAUUCCCGGUAAAGGAGGUGUCAUCGGAAAUGACAGCUUUUUUUUCUUUUGUGAGACAGGGUCUUGCCCUGUCACCCAGGCUGGAGUACGGUGGUAUAAUCAUAGCUCACUUCAGCUCAACCUCUUGGGCUCAAGUGA